GUGACUCAGCAUUUUUGUAGAUUAUACUCUAUUAAAGAUGAUAGCUAUAAUUCCUUGCAAUCUGUAUAUGUAAAUCAUUAAUAAGCUUAUGUUCAAUGGUGUAUUUCUCCAGUUAAAAGAAGCAUACUGAUGUUCGUAUACAAAGACAUACAGUAACAGGGUACAAAAGAUUUCACUUACAAGUUUCCAGAUUUAAAUGUUCUUGUCAAAUGAUAACAUGUGUAAUACAUUUUAUGAACUGAAAGAGUAUAGAGAUUUUUUCAAUGCUCUCAGGUUAUCACAAAUUAAUCCUUUAUACAAUAUAUUACUCUCCUCUAUUCUGAUAAUAGUACUAAAUAUAAUAAAUUAGGGAAAGCUGUUCAAUCUUAUCACCAAAAGGUAUGCAUGGCUACUGUCUUCACCAGUCAUCUAGCCAGCUUCCAUAUAAUUUUAGACCAGGAGCUUUUAGGUUAUGAAGACGAUCAGAGAAAAUUUCAAUAAAAAGGACCUAAGCAAGUGCUGGUAUCAAGUUACACAACAGUAAAAUUCCAAGGUAUUGAUCCCUGGGUUCAAGUCUCUCAAUUAGAAGGACACAAGCCAUCAUCAAUUCAUUGUUCCAGUUGUCUCAUGAAGCAUAGUAAACCAUCCCAAAACAGUGACUUUUCAAACAAUAACAGUCAUUUUAUUUUAGAUCAAAAACCUGAGGAAUUACCAAGGUCAGUUAGCAUUUAUGAGGUCACAGUCAGAUUGUGGCUGGAGUCACCUCAAAGGAUUCUUUGCUCAUGUUUGAUGCCUGGGCUGGCAAGAGUCAAACCACUGGGAGGUGAAAGGGCUAGGGCCCUCAGAUCCAUCUCUUCUCCUCCCUCCUCUUAUCUUCUCGUCUCCUCCUCUUCUCCUUCUUCCUCUUCCUCUUCUUCACCUCUCUCUCUUCCCCCCUUCCCUCUCUCCCUCCCUCCUUCAUCUUCACAUGAUCUCUCCACCUGGAGACCCCAGGAUAUGCAGAUCUCUUAGACAACUGAAGAAGUCUCCUAGAGAAGGGGUUGUUUCUGUCUCCAUCAAAGUGGAGGAAAGGGGAUGCUAUAUGCUGAAGUAGAGAAGUAAUGGGAAAGAUGGUGAAUCCUCAAAGGACCUAGAACAGCUUGGAGCCACUGUCUGAUUCUUCUUGGGAACUCCAUAGGAAGAAUGCCGGAAGGCCAAACAAGUUUUGGGAGAUCUUAACAGAGCUUCAUACAAAUUGAAGGCAAUUAGUCCAGGCUUCUAAUCAGUGCCUUAGUCACGUCUAUAAUGUCCUAACCCAUUAUAUCUCCAGCCUCCGUUCAGAAGUCAAGUCAUUGGAAUUCAUCUUUCUACUGAGGGCCUCAUUUUUUUUAAAGUUUUUAUGCACUGCAAACUUCCCUGUGAGUUGGAGAAAAAGUCCAAGGCCAGCCAGCCAGCCCUGCAGAGCUCAGGACGAGACACAUCUCUAAUGUGGAAUCAGGUAUUUCAAAGGAAAUGGCAAAAAAGGACAUCAGACAACAGAUCAGGAAAUCUUUUUUAA